GUCUGUGGCCAUACCACCUUGAACACGCCCGAUCUUGUCUGAUCUCGGAAGCUAAGCAGGGUCGGGCCUGGUUAGUACUUGGAUGGGAGAAUUUCUUCUUUUUUAUCACCAGACAUGGGAAAUUCCUGCAAUUAAUUAAU
rnacentral:rRNA from 1 species